UGGCUUCCUGCAGGGCCACGAGCUGGGGGGUCAGUCUCCGAGGUUCUGUGCCACACAGCUACUAGUUUAAAUGAGGAAAAUUAAGUAAACCUUGCCCUGAGUAGAUUAAGAUGAGCCUUCAAAGUGUGUGAGCUCUCUUGUGGCCUUGCUGGGGGCUCUGGCAAUGGCCUAAGUGCUGGGCAGCACGGAAAAUAAGAAAAAUCAGAGUGCCCAGAAGAACUCACAGCAGAGCUGGAAAGAAAGGAGUAGAGCAGGCCAGGGGCAUUCUCUUCCAUUGCUGGGUGUUGCUGGACAGUGCCUGAAGGAAUCUGGCUCAGAAGACCACUGGCACAAAGGACUAGUUUUUCAAUGUCCACGUCCUAUAUCCUUCUUUGGGGUCCAUUACAGUGUCCUCCAUGAAGUGUUAACGUCAUUUCAGAAUCCCAAGCCUUUAAUCACUUGGUAAGGACUGGAGAAAGUCCGUGGAAAGUUCACACAGCACCAGAGCAAAUAGACUUUAACAGAGGUAUGCAUGAAAACAGAAUGCCCUUGAGUUCUUGGACAUCUUGUUGGGUGCUUGUUGCUUUGGGUGGUGCUCAGGGUAGUGAUGCAGUGUCUCUGGGGGGGGGGGGGGCUUACUUAUUACAGACGAUGACCUAAAAUCUGUCUUCCAGCCACCCAGGGGACCUUUCUUUCUGUGAUCAUGUCCUUAAAUCUGCCUUCCAGCCACCCUGAGGACCAUUCUAUGAUUAUGAAAUGAGACUUGGGAAGACACUCCUUCAAGACUCCUCCUGAGGGUUUAUGAGCCUAUCUAUAAUUGGAUAGGUUUAUCAUCAUUUAAAACUGAGAUUUGUGUUUGCUAUAUAUGAUAUUCGCUCACUGCACAAACAUUUUAGAGCCCUGGGCUAUGUUAAUAGUAUACAUUAGAGCUUUGAACUUGAAGUUCCUCAAAAAAAAAAAAA
rnacentral:sRNA from 1 species